rnacentral:rRNA from 1 species
AUUGAACGCUGGCGGAAUGCUUUACACAUGCAAGUCGAACGGCAGCACGGGGGCAGCCCUGGUGGCGAGUGGCGAACGGGUGAGUAAUACAUCGGAACGUGCCCGGUCGUGGGGGAUAACGUAGCGAAAGUUACGCUAAUACCGCAUACGAUCUGAGGAUGAAAGCGGGGGACCUUCGGGCCUCGCGCGAUCGGAGCGGCCGAUGUCAGAUUAGGUAGUUGGUGGGGUAAAGGCCUACCAAGCCGACGAUCUGUAGCUGGUCUGAGAGGACGACCAGCCACACUGGGACUGAGACACGGCCCAGACUCCUACGGGAGGCAGCAGUGGGGAAUUUUGGACAAUGGGCGCAAGCCUGAUCCAGCCAUUCCGCGUGCAGGACGAAGGCCUCCGGGUUGUAAACUGCUUUUGUACGGAACGAAAAGGCUCUGGCUAAUACCUGGGGCUCAUGACGGUACCGUAAGAAUAAGCACCGGCUAACUACGUG